UCGGAGAGUUUGAUCCUGGCUCAGGACGAACGCUGGCGGCGUGCCUAAUACAUGCAAGUCGAGCGGACAGAUGGGAGCUUGCUCCCUGAUGUCAGCGGCGGACGGGUGAGUAACACGUGGGUAACCUGCCUGUAAGACUGGGAUAACUCCGGGAAACCGGGGCUAAUACCGGAUGCUUGUUUGAACCGCAUGGUU
rnacentral:rRNA from 1 species